GGAUGUCUAGUGUCCCUUAUGGCUCUAAUCUGAUAGUGGUAGUGGGGGGGUAGAUUCCUAGUGUCCCUUAUGACUCUAAUCUGAUAGUGGUAGUGGGGUGGUAGAUUCCCAGUGUCCUUUAUGGCUCAAAUCUGAUAGUGGUAGUGGGGUGGUAGAUUCCUAGUGUCCCUUAUGGCUCUAAUCUGAUAGUGGUAGUGGGGUGGUAGAUUCCUAGGGUCCCUUAUGGCUCUAAUAGGAUAGUGGUAGUGCGGGGUGGUAGAUUCCUAGUGUACCUUAUGGCUCUAAUCUGAUAGUGGUAGUGGGGUGGUAGAUUCCUAGUGUCCCUUGUGGCUCUAAUAUGAUAAUGGCAGUAGGGUGGUGGAUGUCUAGUGUCCCUUAUGGCUCUAAUAUGAUAAUGGUAGUAGGGUGGUGGAUGUCUAGUGUCCCUUAUGGCUCUAAUAUGAUAAUGGCAGUAGGGUGGUGGAUGUCUAGUGUCCCUUAUGGCUCUAAUCUGAUAAUAGUAGUGGGGGGUGGCAGAUUCCUAGUGUCCCUUAUGGCUCUAAUCUGAUAGUGGUAGUGGGGUGGUAGAUUCCUAGUGUCCCUUAUGGCUCUAAUCUGAUAGUGGUAGUGCGGGGUGGUAGAUUCCUAGUGUCCCUUAUGGCUCUAAUCUGAUAGUGGUAGUGGGGUGGUAGAUUCCUAGUGUCCCUUAUGGCUCUAAUCUGAUAGUGGUAGUGGGGUGGUAGAUUCCUAGUGUCCCUUAUGGCUCUAAUAUGAUAGUGGAUGUAGGGUGGUGGAUGUCUAGUGUCCCUUAUGGCUCUAAUAUGAUAAUGGUAGUGGGGUGGUAGAUUCCUAGUGUCCCUUAUGGCUCUAAUAUGAUAAUGGUAGUAGGGUGGUGGAUGUCUAGUGUCCCUUAUGGCUCUAAUAUGAUAAUGGUAGUAGGGUGGUGGAUGUCUAGUGUCCCUUAUGGCUCUAAUAUGAUAAUGGCAGUAGGGUGGUAGAUGUCUAGUGUCCCUUAUGGCUCUAAUAUGACAAUGGUAGUAGGGUGGUGGAUGUCUAGUGUCCUUAUGGCUCUAAUCUGAUAGUGGUAGUGGGGUGGUAGAUUCCUAGUGUCCCUUAUGGCUCUAAUCUGAUAGUAGUAGUAGGGUGGUGGAUGUCUAGUGUCCCUUAUGGCUCUAAUAUGAUAAUGGUAGUGGGGUGGUAGAUUCCUAGUGUCCCUUAUGGCUCUAAUCUGAUAGUGGUAGUGGGGGGUGGCAGAUUCCUAGUGUCCCUUAUGGCUCUAAUCUGAUAGUGGUAGUGGGGGUUGUUAGAUUCAUAGUGUCCCUUAUGGCUCUAAUAGGAUAGUGGUAGUGGAGGGUGGUAGAUUCCUACUGUCCCUUAUGGCUCUAAUCUGAUAGUGGUAGUGGGGUGGUAGAUUCCUAGUGUCCCUUAUUGCUCUAAUCUGAUAGUGGUAGUGGGGUGGUAGAUUCCUAAUGUCCAUUAUGGCUCUAAUAUGAUAAUGGUAGUAGGGUGGUGGAUGUCUAGUGUCCCUUAUGGCUCUAAUAUGAUAAUGGUAGUAGGGUGGUGGAU
ensembl:lncRNA